rnacentral:rRNA from 1 species
CCCUUAGAUGUUCUGGGCUGCACGCGCGCUACACUGAUGCGUUCAACGAGUUUAUGACCUUGCCCGAUAGGGUUGGGUAAUCUUUUUAAAUCGCAUCGUGAUGGGGAUAGAUUAUUGCAAUUAUUAAUCUUCAACGAGGAAUUCCUAGUAAGCGCGAGUCAUCAGCUCGUGCUGAUUACGUCCCUGCCCUUUGUACACACCGCCCGUCGCUCCUACUGAUUGGGUGAUCCGGUGAGCUGUUCGGCCAUAGCAAUGUUUCUUGAGCAGGGCAAUGAAUGUUUCGCAAACCUUGCCACUUAGAGGAAGGAGAAGUCGUAACA